AUACUAUAUUAGUUUAAAUCAGUUGUAAAAUUAAAAAUGUUAACAUCUUUGAUAGACAUAUGGCAUUUGUUAUCCCACUAAUUUGCUGCUUUAGAGGCAUGGCAUUUAGUGUCACAUUAAUUUACUGUUUUAGACAUGUGGCAUGUGGUAUCCCACUACACGUGGCAUGUGGUAUCCCACUAAUUAGCUAUUUUAAACAUGUGACAAGUGGUAUGACACUGUAUUGAUGUAUGUGAAAUGUGUAGAGUCUUUCAGUUAUCAGAUAAUGACAAGGAGUUUACAGCAUGGUGUCCGAUUUAAAGUGCGAACCUGUGUACGAGUAACAACAGUAUUCAAAACCAAAACCUAUUUAAACCAACCAAACCAAAACUAGC
rnacentral:lncRNA from 1 species